rnacentral:rRNA from 1 species
CCUACGGGAGGCAGCAGUGAGGAAUAUUGGUCAAUGGACGAGAGUCUGAACCAGCCAAGUAGCGUGAAGGAUGACUGCCCUAUGGGUUGUAAACUUCUUUUAUAUGGGAAUAAAAUGUUCCACGUGUGGGGUUUUGUAUGUACCAUAUGAAUAAGGAUCGGCUAACUCCGUGCCAGCAGCCGCGGUAAUACGGAGGAUCCGAGCGUUAUCCGGAUUUAUUGGGUUUAAAGGGAGCGUAGAUGGGUUGUUAAGUCAGUUGUGAAAGUUUGCGGCUCAACCGUAAAAUUGCAAUUGAUACUGGCAGUCUUGAGUACAGUUGAGGUAGGCGGAAUUCGUGGUGUAGCGGUGAAAUGCUUAGAUAUCACGAAGAACUCCGAUUGCGAAGGCAGCUUACUAAACUGCCACUGACAUUGAUGCUCGAAAGUGUGGGUAUCAAACAGGAUUAGAUACCCUGGUAGUC